rnacentral:tRNA from 1 species
GGUGAGGUGCCCGAGUGGCCAAAGGGGGCGGACUGUAAAUCCGCUGGCGGAUCGCCUUCGGAGGUUCGAAUCCUCCCCUCACCACCA